rnacentral:rRNA from 1 species
AACGAACGCUGGCGGCGCGCCUAAUACAUGCAAGUCGAGCGAGAAGACGUAGCAAUACGUUUGUAAAGCGGCGAACGGGUGAGGAAUACAUGGGUAACCUACCCUCGAGUGGGGAAUAACUAGCCGAAAGGUUAGCUAAUACCGCGUACGCUCCUUGGACUUCGGUUCAGGGAGGAAAGCGAUACCGUGGGUAUCGCGCUCUUGGAUGGGCUCAUGUCCUAUCAGCUUGUUGGUGAGGAACGGCUCACCAAGGCUUCGACGGGUAGCUGGUCUGAGAGGACGAUCAGCCACACUGGCACUGCGACACGGGCCAGACUCCUACGGGAGGCAGCAGUAAGGAAUAUUGCGCAAUGGGCGAAAGCCUGACGCAGCGACGCCGCGUGGGGGAGUGAAGGUCUUCGGAUU